rnacentral:lncRNA from 1 species
AGCCCGGCGUGGGCGUGGGGUUACAGACACACACAGCCCUUUGUUCCACCGGCCGACGAGCAGAUGGAGACCAGCUCUGACCUCAAGCUCAGGAUGCCCAGGAGUUUCACGAGCACCCAAGGACAAAGGCUGGCAAGCGAUGAAAGGGCUCCUGCACUCGUUUACUGCACCGGUGUCCACGCGCCUUACGUCGGUGGGGAUGGAGCCUGCUGUCAUCGGAUGAGAUGGGCACGGCACUCUCAACGUGGUGGGGUGACUCCUCCAGCACCAGGAGGGAUGAGGGUAUGGGGUCAGUGAUGGAGCUCAGCAGGUUCUGAAGGUUUAUGGGAUCUCGCACAAAGCUGUGCACGGUGCACAGCAUUUCGGUUGCGUAAAGUGAGCUCCUACCAAGGGUGGCUGGUGAUCUGAAAAACAGGGUCGGUGUGAGAGUCUGCUGGGAAGGGGAAGGCAGCGCGCUGAGGAAGCCCCACCGUAAGCAUUUUUCCUGCCCUGGGAUGACCAACGUACAUCCUGAGAAAAGGGUGCCUGCAUUGUGCGGCCUGCCGCUCUGCCCAUCCUGCCAGGAACAAUGAAGCGGCUCUUAAAAAAAAAUAAAAGGCAUUUUCAGGGUUGUGGGAGAGAGGAGCAGGGGGCAUCGGGGAGGAUGGGCGAGCAAGGGGGGGUGACGCCGAGGCAGAUGUGCUUCGGCUGCGGAGCUUCUUUCUUGUUGAAGAAAGAGGUGGCAUCUGGGUCAAGCAUCCCUUCCCAGAUGAAUCUUCCCUCUUGCCUGUCCUUUCUGCACCUAAAAGUGCCUUUUCUUCCCAUCAGCACAGCUGGAUUAAAACCCUUUGGGGCCAUUGCUCUGACAGCAGCUGAAUUUUCAAUCAGUGGAAGAUUUUUUGGAGCAGAAAGCAUCUUAUUUCGGGAGGCCGGGAGGGCCCAGAACGAGGACCCACAGGCAGAAGAGCGACUGGGCUUUGUAAAAAGAGGCUUGGCUGAGCCCUGUAUGCAAAAAAACACCGAGCAGAGAAAUGCUUCCUGCGCUGGACUGGGAAAGCAGCAGUGGGGGCUGGACUCUGCCAAGUGCCCAUUGCAAGGAAGGUUCAGAUUUGGGGACUGA